rnacentral:rRNA from 1 species
ACAAACCGUCGUCCCAUCCUCAUCCUUUUCGGAUGCGGGACGGAAGAUGGUCUCCCGUGUGUUACCGCACGCGGUUGGCCGAAAUCCGAGCGAAGGACGCCUGGAGCGUCCCGACAUGCGGUGGCGAAUCCAAGCCUCUUCACAUUGUCGGUCGUUCUUUGUCCGGAUGCUCUAAGAUGACCCAAAGUCUUCCAAGCGACCCCAGGUCAGGCGGGAUCACCCGCUGAGUUUAAGCAUAUCAAUAAGCGGAGGAAAAGAAACUAACAAGGAUUCCCUUAGUAACGGCGAGCGAACCGGGAAGAGCCCAGCUUGAAAAUCGGACGUCUUUGACGUUCGA